UGAGGAACAUGACCUUCGGCGGGGGAUAGCCGGCCCAACGGCCGGGUAAUACCGCGUACGACCACAUGGGGACAUCCCUGAGUGGUGAAAGCAGCAAUGCGCCGAUGGAGUGCCUCGCGGCCUAUCAGCUAGUUGGUGAGGUAACGGCUCACCAAGGCAACGACGGGUAGCUGGUCUGAGAGGAUGGCCAGCCACAGUUGGGACUGAGACACCGGCCCAGACCUCGUACCGGGGAG
rnacentral:rRNA from 1 species